CAGAGAAACUCAAGGGUGUCCCUGGGCAGGCAAGUUUCAGGGAAAAUUGCACCCUCUCACCAAGAAAGGCCCUAAAACACCAGCCACUGAGCUAUAUCUUUGAUGCCCUUAAUCCCGAACAGAAGAAAUGGGAACCACGCCAGCCACUGAGCUAUAUCUUUGAUGCCCUUAAUCCCGAACAGAGGAAAUGAGAACCACGCCAGCCACUGAGCUCUUUGUGACCUCCGCUCGAUUUACCACCCAAUGGCCCACUCUGCUCCAUCUCCAACAAAAAUCACAGGUGGGAAGGUUAUGCAGCAGACUCUAGAAUUCUAGGUGAUGUUAUUGAGCAGGACAAGCAUCUAUUAGCAGUGUCUCAAGGGAAAUAUGACCUUGUGGAUGCGGGGUACCCUAUUACUCAUGGAUUCAUUACCCAUAUCGUUGUGCACAGUACCACCUUAGUGAGACCCAGGGAAGGAGAUCUUCGAGGAAGUUAGAAGAGCUAUUCAAUCAUAGGCAUUUGUCAUUAAGAAAUGUUGUGGAGUACACAUUUGAAGUCUGGAAAGCGAGGUUUCUCAUUUUGAGGUCCCAAUUUCAAUAUCGAAUUACGACACAGGUUAAGAUUGUAAAUGCAACUUGUAUUUUGCACAAUUAUAUGUGAAUGAGAACAACACAAAGCUCUAUUCAAGAUGGAGCAUUUCAAUAUCAAGUUCUUAGACAAGUGAGGAGAGAUCUUGAGUUGCGCGCAAGCGAUGAAGAGGAAGAAGAAAAUGAAUCUAAAAGUGAUGAACUUGAUGAGCAUCAUUCUCAAAGUAGGUAUGCCCAUAAUUUUGGGGAACAAUGGAAGGAGCAAAUUAUGGCACAAACGUAGGAAUGAUAUCGAAGACAAAAUUGUUAGUGUAUCCACAUAUGUAUGUGCCGUUAAAUUUGUUAUCUCUCUCUCUCGCUCUCUUCAAGUGAUAACUUUCGUGUUACUAUUUUAAAGGAGGCCAACUUAUCUUUUGUCACAUACUGGUGUGAUGGCCAAAUGAAAUGGUUAGCUUUGAAACU